rnacentral:rRNA from 1 species
UUGGUUAAGUUAGAAAGGGCGCACGGUGGAUGCCUUGGCACUAGGAGCCGAAGAAGGACGGGACUAACACCGAUAUGCUUUGGGGAGCUGUACGUAAGCGUUGAUCCAGAGAUUUCCGAAUGGGGGAACCCACUAUCUUUAGUCGGAUAGUAUCCUUACGUGAAUACAUAGCGUGAGGAAGGCAGACCCAGGGAACUGAAACAUCUAAGUACCUGGAGGAAGAGAAAGAAAAAUCGAUUUCCUGAGUAGCGGCGAGCGAAACGGAAAGAGCCCAAACCAAGAAGCUUGCUUCUUGGGGUUGUAGGACACUCUAUACGGAGUUACAAAAGAAAGUUAUAAAUGAAGCGGUCUGGAAAGGCCCGCCAAAGACGGUAACAGCCCGGUAGUUGAAAUAGCUUUCCCUCCAGAGUGGAUCCUGAGUACGGCGGAACACGUGAAAUUCCGUCGGAAUCCGGGAGGACCAUCUCCCAAGGCUAAAUACUCCCUAGUGACCGAUAGUGAACCAGUACCGUGAGGGAAAGGUGAAAAGCACCCCGGAAGGGGAGUGAAACAGUUCCUGAAACCGUGUGCCUACAAGUAGUUAGAGCCCGUUAAUGGGUGAUAGCGUGCCUUUUGUAGAAUGAACCGGCGAGUUACGAUUUGUUGCAAGGUUAAGCGGAAAAAGCGGAGCCGUAGCGAAAGCGAGUCUGAAUAGGGCGCAUAAGUAACAGGUCGUAGACCCGAAACCAGGUGAUCUACCCAUGUCCAGGAUGAAGGUAAGGUAAUACUUACUGGAGGUCCGAACCCACGCACGUUGAAAAGUGCGGGGAUGAGGUGUGGGUAGCGGAGAAAUUCCAAUCGAACUUGGAGAUAGCUGGUUCUCUCCGAAAUAGCUUUAGGGCUAGCCUCGAGGUAAAGAGUCAUGGAGGUAGAGCACUGUUUGGACUAGGGGCCCUUCUCGGGUUACCGAAUUCAGAUAAACUCCGAAUGCCAUGUACUUAUACUCGGGAGUCAGACUGCGAGUGAUAAGAUCCGUAGUCGAAAGGGAAACAGCCCAGACCACCAGUUAAGGUCCCCAAAUAUAUGUUAAGUGGAAAAGGAUGUGGGGUUGCUUAGACAACCAGGAUGUUGGCUUAGAAGCAGCCACCAUUGAAAGAGUGCGUAAUAGCUCACUGGUCGAGUGACCCCGCGCCGAAAAUGUACCGGGGCUAAACAUAUUACCGAAACUGUGGAUGAACCUCUUUGGAGGUUCGUGGUAGGAGAGCGUUCUAAGGGCGGUGAAGUCAGACCGGAAGGACUGGUGGAGCGCUUAGAAGUGAGA